UGCAAGUGGUGCAUCAUCUGCGUUGAAGCCUAAUUUUGAGUUUUGAGCCUUUGAAGGCUCAUGAGAUUUCUGAUGGGCAAGUGCAGCUGCGGAAGGUGUCUGUUCCGCCACCUCGUUUGCAGUUCUGCUGUACCCUGGAUUUCUUCAGUGUUAUUUCUCUUUUUCCU